UACGGGGGGGGCAAGCGUUGUUCGGAAUUACUGGGCGUAAAGGGCUCGUAGGCGGCCAACUAAGUCAGACGUGAAAUCCCUCGGCUUAACCGGGGAACUGCAUCUGAUACUGGAUGGCUUGAGAUUGGGAGAGGGAUGCGGAAUUCCAGGUGUAGCGGUGAAAUGCGUAGAUAUCAGGAGGAACACCGGCGGUGUAGACGGCUUUCUGGACCGUAGCUGACGCUGAGACACGAAAGCGUGGGUAGCAAACAGG
rnacentral:rRNA from 1 species